CUUCCACCAUGUCUUUCCUCCCCAAAAGGCGGUCCCUCCUCCCCGAAAGGUGGCCGCUCCUCCCCAUAAGGUGGUCUCUCCCCCCUGAAAGGUGGUCUCUCACCCCCGAAAGGUGGCCUAUCUUCCCCGUAAGGUGGUCUCUCGCCUCUGAAAGGUGGCCUAUCUUCCCCGUAAGGUGGUCUCUCCUCCCUGUAAGGUGGUCUCUCUUCCCCAUAAGGUGGUCUCUCCUCCCUGUAAGGUGGUCUCUCUUCCCCGUAAGGUGGCCUCUCCUCCCCAAAAGGUGGUCUCUCCUCCCCAAAAGGUGGUCUUUCUUCCCCAUAAGGCGGCUCAUUCCUCCCACCAUGUCUCUCCUCCCCAUAAGAUGGUUCAUUCCUUCCACCUAGUCUCUCCUCCCCAAGAGAUGAUUGUUUCCAUCCACCCGGUAUUUCCUCCCCAUCAGAUGACUGUUUCCAUCCACCAGAGCCCUCCUCACCAUGUUCUCCAGAACCAUGAUCGCUUCUCUGCAACAUAGAAUACAAGAGUCAAAUGCAGUAGCAAUGCACAUGGACAAAAGCUUAGCACCACCACCUUAAAAUCAAAUACUUCACUACCACAAUGCAGUGUGACAACUGACAAGGGAUGACCUCACCCCUAGUGCCUUUAUAUAGCAAACAUAUAAGUUCUAUAACUACUGAAAGCAAAUGAGCGAAAAAUAGAGAGAAGGAGCAUAUGAACUUUUGGUUACCCCAGGUAGAAA
rnacentral:lncRNA from 1 species